CCUAUAGUUGGGAGUGAUUCAAUUUGCUUUGGUUUUAUUUUUUCUUCGCACCCCGAUUUUUUGGAGUGAAAAUGUAUCACCGUGCGCUUAACUGUCAACACUGGAAUAGACAGAUGUCACACUGACAUAUACGUGACUGAUCAUGAUGCUGUCAAAGCACGAGAAGGUUGAGUUAAUCCAAACUUGAUUCGAAUUACAAGGACAGCUCAUGAAACACAAUCUGGAAAUUUCAUUUAAGUGUCUAUGGUUACAGACUUAUUAAUACACACAGAUAAUUCAUUGUAUUUAAUGAGAAUGAUCUGCUUAUUACUACAGAUACGAGCCAUGGCACCACAGAGGACAUGUUUAGCAACUAAACAUGUGGUUUUCAGCAAUAUCCUGAGCAUUCAACAGUACGAAAGCUGCUACAAGUAGAGUUACAACUAGAGGAAUAUAUUAUUGUCCUUUCUAGGAAGGAUAUUUAUAUAAUAAGAUUGUUAAAUGAUGUAUAUCUAAUAUUAAAGGACGCAGCAUUUCAAAGCAGGGGCUACUAACAAUUCCCAUGGUAGUUAAAAAAUUCAACAGUACAGUUUUUAAUACAACAAAGAGCUUUGAGAUCAAACCACAAGCUGAAGGCUGUGGUAAUGAAAGAGAACCCUCAGUCCCAAAAAGCGCUGUUCCCAAUGGAACUAAGUAUAUCUCAUGCUACUAUUUACAAAGUAAUAAAUGAGCAUUUGAAACUGAUGAAGACUUGCAAGCUUCCAGCCACACCUGAAAAUUAGUGGUUAUUUUCAUGAGAAAGAUGGCCAAAGAAAUUUGAACCACACUAAUUCUGCUUAACUAUAUUGCUUGUCAAGAUUCUCCCAAUGACAACUCCACUGGACUUCCAUGCAUUAUGUUCACUUAAACGUGGUCUUGAAGGCCAAAGUCCAGAUCCAAUGGAGAGUCUAUGUGAAGUCUGUCAGUGUGAUCGAACAGUCUUGUUACAAUGGAAACUGUUUAAUCAGGGAUAUCAGAUCAAAUACAAUCCACGACAGAAGAAGUCAUUCAGAGAGCAGCACUCCUGUAAAAUGUGAUUAAACUCGGGUAGAUUUAUGUGUAUCUAUAUGUAAAGCCUGAACAAAACCUCCCAAGACAAUUUUUCCUUUUUAAAUUAAAUUAAAAAGUCACAGUGAACAACUUAAAAAUAUAUAUACACAUAUCCGAACCACAUGAUAAGCUUGAGUGAGAUCCAUUCUUGGAAAGGUAUAUUUUCAAUAAAAUGCUGCAGAAAGGUAGCAAGUAAUUCA